CACGUAGGGGGCAAGCGUUGUCCGGAUUUAUUGGGCGUAAAGAGCUCGUAGGCGGUUCGCUAAGUCGGGUGUGAAACCUCCAGGCUCAACCUGGAGACGCCACCUGAUACUGGUGUGACUCGAGUCCGGUAGGGGAGCGUGGAAUUCCCUGGUGUAGCGGUGGAAAUGCGCAGAUAUCAGGAGGAACACCAGCGGCGAAGGCGGCGCUCUGGGCCGGAACUGACGCUGAGGAGCGAAAGCCAGGGGAGCAAACGGG
rnacentral:rRNA from 1 species